rnacentral:rRNA from 1 species
UACGGAGGGCGCAAGCGUUGUUCGGAAUUACUGGGCGUAAAGCGCACGUAGGCGGAUAUUUAAGUCAGGGGUGAAAUCCCGCAGCUCAACUGCGGAACUGCCUUUGAUACUGGGUAUCUUGAGUAGGGAAGAGGUAAGUGGAAUUCCGAGUGUAGAGGUGAAAUUCGUAGAUAUUCGGAGGAACACCAGUGGCGAAGGCGGCUUACUGGUCCAUUACUGACGCUGAGGUGCGAAAGCGUGGGGAGCAAACAGG